rnacentral:tRNA from 1 species
GGUCGCAUGGUGUAACGGCAGCACAACAGACUUUGACUCUGUCGGUACAGGUUCGAGUCCUGUUGCGACUG